CAAUUUACUAAUCAUGCUGACAUUAUUUUCACUCCUUUUGUAAGGGAUCCUCUCUGGUCUACAAGGAUGUUGCCUUCAGGAAAAUCUGAAGGGUUAAUGAAUCCUUUCAGGCUACACCCAGACAUAGCUGUGUACUGUUUACAGAAUACUUGUGUACAAGUUCUCAUUGCAAAGCCAUUUUACUGGAGAUACAAGCGUACAAUUGGUGCCGUCUCCUCCUAUAUUCUACCUGGACCAUCAAUAGCAGUCAGUGAAAGGACUGCAGAAAACACCUGCGAGGUAAAGCGAGACAGUCAAGGACCACCUAAUCCUGUGAGUGAAGAAGCAAUAACUCACUGAUGAAGUCAACGCUGUGUUCCCCUCUCCUAUUAACCAGCUUCCAGUAAUGCGGAUCCUAUCCAAAUAUAAUAUGGUGCCAACCGUCUUGGAGCCAUGGUUUAUUUUAUUUCUCAUCCUGCUCACGGUGCUCGUUAUGUGUUUUCUGGUGAUGCUGCCAGCAGGGAUUGUCAUCCUAUGGAGAAGAAGACACAUGCCUGAACAUUCACUGGAUGGGACUGUGUAAUCAUCAAUAUACCGGAAAAAAUGAUCAACUGCACAAAGUAUGAAGGGUGCUGCUGUCAUUUCCUGAACACACCCAUAUAGAACACAUACACAUAGCUGUGUAAAUAAAGAAAUUAUGUAGUGAUAAAAUAUUAGGGUGCCAUUGCUGACUUCUCCUUCUGAAAAUCGAGCUUUCUGGCUGCCAUGCUGAUCCAGCGGAUCAGAAGUUCUGACUUCACUCUGACAUUUUAAUCUGCAUGCUUGUUUCAAGUCAGUGCCUGAAAAGGGUGCGUAUACCAGAGACAUCCAGGCAACGAGUAUUCUUGGGGGGGGG